GAUGGCUGGCUGUUGUCGGUGACGGGGGAGGAGUUUGGCGGCGGCUUCGGCUUUGGCGCGUUCGACGUCGAGUUCGGCGAUCACCGAGGUGUAGACGUC
rnacentral:misc_RNA from 1 species